GCUGCUAUAUGGGGAACUAAGUCUGGCAGUGAGAGGAGUGGGUGAAUAAAGAGAAGAAGAAGGAAGAGAAAGUUCUCACACCUCAGUGAGGAAAAUCCUCUAAUCUGCUUGGGCCUGAAACCAUUGCGUUAGUCCCUUUGGACCCUCCUCUUCUUCCUACCCUGGAAUGAACCUCUCGCCGCUUACAGAUGCUGAGAAAUUGCCGUCUGUGGGAUUAAGUAGAAUUCAGAACCCGAUCUUGAGGUGAGGGGAAAGGAGAAGAAUGGAAGCAGUGGCUGGAAGGGGAAGAAGAGACAAGAGAGAACGCGAGAUGUGAAGGAGAGUGGGAAGGAAAACAUAAAUAUUUCUCACACUUACUAAAAGCAAUAAUAAUCAUAA